AGUGUAUAGGGCGUCCGCCUCGGCAACGGUAGGUAGGCGGUUCGAAUCCUGCCGCCGGACACCCACCGGUUAAAAGGGCAAGGCGUCCCCCCUACCCGGCGCCCGGUUGUUUACGGGGUGAGUGAACGCCUGGGGAGUAUCCGCUAGCAGUUCCUCACCACUGCUGGCCACCA
rnacentral:lncRNA from 1 species